rnacentral:lncRNA from 1 species
GGUGAGGUUCGGGUACAAAAAAUUAAAGCUCAAGUAGAUAUUUUAUAUAAUAGAAAGAGAGUAGUUUGACGGGUAAAAGGGCGCCUAAAAUGGAGGCUUUGGCGUCUGCUACUUUUGGUCCUAUUUGAAAGUGGUUGAUAAAACUUGACCUUUUCCCUCUUCUCCUCCUGCUUUUACUUACGUUAUAGCCUAGGCAGUUUUAUUAUUAAGUGAUUUCUGUUACCUCCUCCUCCAACUUUUACUUACGUUAUAGCCUAUGCAGUUUUAUUAUCAAGUGAUUUAUGUUACACUUAUGCCAAACCUAAUAAAUUUCUGAUCUUUAAUUUAUCUGUCCUCCUUAAUUCCAAAAGCAGCAAAAAAUCAGCAGUUUUAACUCCUGUCUUUGGGAAACUCUUCCUGGUUUUUCUCCUUUUCAGCCUCUGUUAGCUGUCACUCUCAGCUUCUCUGCCCAAAGGUGAUGAUAUUUCUGCUUUUGGGGGUUUUUUUCUGCUUUUCUUUCCAUUAGUGGUAGUCUCUGUUUAGAUUUCUUUCGCUGUUCCAUUAUUUAAUUUUCAAUUUACUUUUUCUUCUUUUCCCUUUUCUUUCAAGAUUAUGGAUUUUUGC